rnacentral:rRNA from 1 species
UACGGGGGGGGCAAGCGUUGUUCGGAAUUACUGGGCGUAAAGGGCUCGUAGGCGGCCAACUAAGUCAGACGUGAAAUCCCCAGGCUCAACCUGGGAACUGCGUCUGAUACUGGAUGGCUCGAGUGUGGGAGAGGGAUGCGGAAUUCCAGGUGUAGCGGUGAAAUGCGUAGAUAUCUGGAGGAACACCGGUGGCGAAGGCGGCAUCCUGGACCAUAACUGACACUGAUAAGCGAAAGCCAGGGGAGCAAACGGG